CUUCAAUUGCCGUCGCCAAUGCCUCCUCUUUUGCGACGGCAAAAACUGAGGGGUCGCGAUUGUGCAAAAUAUUUGCGACGGUAACAACUGCCGUCGCCACUGGGCGUGGCAAACCCAAUGGUUUACUUUGGCAAGAGUUAGCCGUAGUAAAAUACUAAGACGUUUUGCGACUGUAAAAGACAUGCCGUCGCAUUUCUUCAAUUCUCCCGUGGUAUGAAAACCACGACAGUCGCCCUCUGCUCAAAAAGAAAAGAAAAAACUCUCUCAAAACGGAGGCCGAUCUCUUCGUCUCUCUUGUCCUCCCUCUCUCUCCGUCAUCGCAAAUCCCAUCUUCCGCCAAUACUUCUGUCUAAGCUCUUCCUUAUCGGCAAACCAGAUUGGGGAAAUCUUUUGGGGGUAUCGUUCAGAUCUAGAUCCCUCACCUGCAAAAGAGUCAAUUGGGUCGCAUAUCGUAAACGACGUCGGUGAGUCAGUUUCCGGGGAGCUCUAGCUGGCUGGAGACCAGAGCUAAGAUGGGUUUCAGUUUAGGAUUCUUGGUCGGCAUCUUUGGAGUUCUAAUUCUCUCUCAUGCCGCUUAAUCAACUGUUCAGUAUAAGUUGAUAGUUGAAGAUUAUGGAGGAAGAGUUUUCAGGACCUCCAAUCACUGUAAGAUUAGGAAUGCAGAUUUAAUUAGCUAAAAUGGGUCUGGUUUGGUUUUAAUUGUUGACCUAUCUGAAAGUGAAUUACUGGGAAUACAGGUGGUGGCAAAAUUGGUUCUAGGAACUUGUUGUAGCAGUGUAAGAGAAAGUCAUGAUUGACCAAUGUGAAGGAUUGCUGGCUUCAGCAGUAGCUAUGCAGAUUAGGUUUUGGCUUAGAACAUAUCACUCUGGUUGGCUUAGAACCUACAAAAGAGUAUCAAUAAAUUUUUUGUCGCUGGGUAUCAAGAAAAUGAUAAAGAAAUAUGUCUGGUACCAGGUUUUAGAGACUAGCUCAACUCCUUCCUAGACACUUAUUUUUCUGAAUAUGGCAUGGGUCCCAUCUACUUUGAUGAAGGUGCAAGGAACUCAAGACGACACCAACUGGAAACAAGAGCAUUGGAUGUGACCUUCUGUGAGGAGUCGAAAGCAGUUAAUUAAAGGAUCUGCAGACUCAAAACCAACAAAUGCUGUGAACAAGGAACUAGCUAAAGAUGCGGAGUCUGAACUGCAAUCAUAGACAAGUUUUUUGCCAAGUUUAACCAUUUUUUGAAAUAUGCACAUAUACACCUACUUGGUUAGCAUAUUUUGAAAUCUGGCUAAAGUACCAGAUUUUGGAUCAUGUAAAACAAUGUCUAAUGUAAUAUAUAACGCACUUAUAUAGUGUACCUAUUUCGCUAGUUUAAUUAUCGUUUGAGACUUUGUUGGCUCUGUACUUAUA